rnacentral:lncRNA from 1 species
GAGGCUUUUCUCUGCCACCGGCAGGAAAAGUUUGCUUUCCUUGACCUCUAAAAAGAUUCAGAAUAAAGGCUGGAAAAAUGAGAGGAUAUCAUGAUGAAGAUGCAAUUCCAUUCCUGGGUAUAUAUCCAAGAGAGCUGAAAACAGCACUCAAGAAAUAGUUCCACACAAAUGUUUGUAGCAGCAUUAUUCACGAUAGCUAAAAAGUGGAAGCAACUCAGAUGUCCG